rnacentral:lncRNA from 1 species
UUUUGUUACGGUAAACAACACAUGCAGAACGGAUGAAAUUGUUUUGAAACGAAACAAAUUUCACUUGAUAUCCAAAGCACAACAAGAAGUAACAUUGGAUAGGGCAAAACUAAUAACAAUAGAAAAGAAACAAAUGGUUGCUCAAAAUUAUUAACCCAUUUGAAUAUUCCAAGAAGAAAGUAACAAUAUCAUCCCAUGAACUGAAAUUCAUAGAUCAAUCACCGAAAAGGUCUAACCUUGGGUAACAAAAUCAAUAUUAGGCAUGUUUGAAAGAAAAAA